UAGCUAGUUGGUAGGGUAAAGGCCUACCAAGGCGACGAUCGGUAGCUGGUCUGAGAGGAUGGCCAGCCACACUGGGACUGAGACACGGCCCAGACUCCUACGGGAGGCAGCAGUGGGGAAUAUUGGACAAUGGGGGCAACCCUGAUCCAGCAAUGCCGCGUGUGUGAAGAAGGCCUGAGGGUUGUAAAGCACUUUCAGUGGGGAGGAGGAUUGAUUGGUUAAGAGCUGAUUGAUUGGACGUUACCUACAGAAGAAGCACCGGCUAACUCCGUGCCAGCAGCCGCGGUAAUACGGAGGGUGCGAGCGUUAAUCGGAAUUACUGGGCGUAAAGGGUGCGUAGGUGGUUAGAUAAGUUAGCUGUGAAAUCCCCGGGCUCAACCUGGGCAGGUCAGCUAAGACUGUUUGACUCGAGUAUGGGAGAGGGUAGUGGAAUUUCCGGUGUAGCGGUGAAAUGCGUAGAGAUCGGAAGGAACACCAGUGGCGAAGGCGGCUACCUGGCCUAAUACUGACACUGAGGCACGAAAGCGUGGGGAGCAAACAGAAUUAGAUACCCUGGUAGUCCACGCCGUAAACGAUGUCAACUAGUUGUUGGCCUUAUGAAUGAGGUUAGUGACGA
rnacentral:rRNA from 1 species